UGCCAGCAGCCGCGGUAACACGGGGGGCCCGAGUGGUAAUCACUUUUAUUGGGUCUAAAGGGUCCGUAGCCGGUUUGAUCAGUUCUUCGGGAAAUCUGACAGCUCAACUGUUAGGCUUCCGGGGAAUACUGUCAGACUUGGGACUGGGAGAGGUAAGAGGUACUACAGGGGUAGGAGUGAAAUCUUGUAAUCCCUGUGGGACCACCAGUGGCGAAGGCGUCUUACCAGAACAGGUCCGACGGUGAGGGACGAAAGCUGGGGGCACGAACAGGAUUAGAUA
rnacentral:rRNA from 1 species